rnacentral:lncRNA from 1 species
AGGCUCGGACCAGAGUAACCAUAUACUUGCCCUCUCGGCCACUAUAUUUUACAAAACCAUAUCUCACAUUGUACUAGUACACAACCACUCAUAACAUAUGCACAUGAUGGAAGUAAGAGUCUCAAACAAAUUUUAAAUACAAAACGAGGAUCAAGACACAAUCUUCGAUAUCUACCUGGCGUAGUCACCAUGAUGACCGACCCCGAAGCUCG